GGUGGUGUAGCUCAGAGGUAAAGUAUGCACUUAAUAUGUGUGAGGAUCUGGGUUCAGUCCCAGCACCAAAU
rnacentral:tRNA from 1 species